GAUGUGUGCCCUAGAAGUCAAUCUUGGCUGACACAUAUUUUUCUCUAGGAUAUAUUUUAUACUUGAUGGGCAAUCUUUAUAACUAAUCAUGUCUUAUGUGUCUAUGAUUUAUCCUAAAAAUUAACAAAGAUGAUUUUGUAUAUUCUCAAGGUACUGAGAAUUUAAGACAUACAUCAUUAGUAUUUAAUUUCUAAAUGCUAUCAGUCGAAGAAUCAUCAUAGAGGAUAGUGAUCAAUCCAUUCAAGAUCGAUACAUAGAUCACCUUCCUUUAGAGCAGAUGAGUCUCGAAUCUGCGAUGUAGAGACAUUGAGGUGAGAAUGCAAGUGGUUGUUAGUGAAUAACUUGCACUGAGGA
rnacentral:lncRNA from 1 species